GACGAACGCUGGCGGCGUGCUUAACACAUACAAGUCGAACGAUGAUGCUGGAGCUUGCUCCAGUUGAUUAGUGGCGAACGGGUGAGUAACACGUGAGCAAUCUGCCCUUGACUCUGGGAUAACUGCGGGAAACUGUAGCUAAUACCGGAUACUUUCACCGGAAGGCAUCUUCUGGUGAUGAAAGAAUUUCGGUCAGGGAUGAGCUCGCGGCCUAUCAGCUUGUUGGUGAGGUAACGGCUCACCAAGGCGACGACGGGUAGCCGGCCUGAGAGGGUGACCGGCCACACUGGGACUGAGACACGGUCCAGACUCCUACGGGAGGCAGCAGUGGGGAAUAUUGCACAAUGGGCGCAAGCCUGAUGCAGCAACGCCGCGUGAGGGAUGAAGGCCUUCGGGUUGUAAACCUCUUUUAGCAGGGAAGAAGCGAAAGUGACGGUACCUGCAGAAAAAGCACCGGCUAACUACGUGCCAGCCGCCGCGGUAA
rnacentral:rRNA from 1 species